rnacentral:rRNA from 1 species
UACGAAGGGGGCUAGCGUUGCUCGGAAUGACUGGGCGUAAAGGGCGCGUAGGCGGCUCAUACAGUCAGAUGUGAAAUUCCUGGGCUUAACCUGGGGGCUGCAUUUGAUACGUGUGGGCUUGAGUGGGGAAGAGGUAAGUGGAACUGCGAGUGUAGAGGUGAAAUUCGUAGAUAUUCGCAAGAACACCAGUGGCGAAGGCGGCUUACUGGUCCGGUUCUGACGCUGAGGCGCGAAAGCGUGGGGAGCAAACAGG